CCUACGAGUGGCAGCAGUGAGGAAUAUUGGUCAAUGGGCGCGAGCCUGAACCAGCCAAGUAGCGUGAAGGAUGACUGCCCUACGGGUUGUAAAAUUCUUUUAUAAAGGAAUAAAGUGAGGCACGUGUGCCUUUUUGUAUGUACUUUAUGAAUAAGGAUCGGCUCACUCCGUGCCAGUAGCCGCGGUAAUACGGGGGAUCCGAGCGUUAUCCGGAUUUAUUGGGUUUAAAGGGAGCGUAGAUGGGUGGUUAAGUCAGUUGUGAAAGUUUGCGGGUCAACCGUAAAAUUGCAAUUGGAACUGGCAGCCUUGAGUACAGUUGAGGUAGGCGGAAUUCGUGGUGUAGCGGUGAAAUGCUUAGAUAUCACGAAGAACUCCGAUUGCGAAGGCAGCUUACUAAACUGCCACUGACAUUGAUGCUCGAAAGUGUGGGUAUCAAACAGGAUUAGAUACCCUGUAGUC
rnacentral:rRNA from 1 species